rnacentral:rRNA from 1 species
GCUACGGCCAUACCACCCUGAGCACGCCCGAUCUCCAUCUGAUCUCGGAGGAUAAGCAAGGUCGGGACUGGUUAGUACUUGGAUGGGAGACCGCUGGGAAUACCAGGUGCUGUAAGCG